rnacentral:rRNA from 1 species
CCUACGGGUGGCAGCAGUGGGGAAUAUUGCACAAUGGGGGAAACCCUGAUGCAGCGACGCCGCGUGAGUGAAGAAGUAUUUCGGUACGUAAAGCUCUAUCAGCAGGGAAGAAAAUGACGGUACCUGACUAAGAAGCCCCGGCUAACUACGUGACAGAAGCCGCGGUAAUACGUAGGGGGCAAGCGGUAUCCGGAUUUACUGGGUGUAAAGGGAGCGUAGGCGGCAGCGCAAGUCUGGAGUGAAAUCCCAUGGCUUAACCAUGGAACUGCUUUGGAAACUGUGCAGCUAGAGUGCAGGAGAGGUAAGCGGAAUUCCUAGUGUAGCGGUGAAAUGCGUAGAUAUUAGGAGGAACACCAGUGGCGAAGGCGGCUUACUGGACUGUAACUGACGUUGAGGCUCGAAAGCGUGGGGAGCAAACAGGAUUAGAUACCCCUGUAGUC